UACGGAGGGUGCAAGCGUUAUCCGGAUUUACUGGGCGUAAAGAGCGCGCAGGCGGUCGUUCAAGUCGCGUGUGAAAGCCCCCGGCUCAACUGGGGAGGGUCACGCGAUACUGAUCGACUCGAAGGCAGGAGAGGGUAGUGGAAUUCCCGGUGUAGUGGUGAAAUGCGUAGAUAUCGGGAGGAACACCAGUGGCGAAGGCGACUACCUGGCCUGUUCUUGACGCUGAGGCGCGAAAGCUAGGGGAGCAAACGGG
rnacentral:rRNA from 1 species